AACAAAGGCAGUGACCUUAGCUGGCCACUUUAGGGUCCUCAUCAGCACCCCAAAAUAAUGAGCUAAGGCUGCAGGAGCUACAACUAAGAGAUUGGGCCCUCCAAGCUUAAGGGUGGGUCUUUCCUCCCCUCCCCUCCCCUAGCUGCUAGGUAGGAGAACAAGAGCCCGACAGGUGUGAGAGAGCUGGGCUGGAAGCAAAGGUGGAAUCUGGAGACCCAGAGAUCUGCUGGCUCUGUGCUGGAACCAAAGCUGUGACUAUUGGAGAAGCGAGAUCUCCUGGGGUCUUAACCAUAGCUGUCAACUUACAGAUUUGAAAAUAAGGGACCAGCAGCCAAAAUAAGGGACCUGCAGCCUCACCUGUUCCAGGCACUCCAGUCUUCCUGUCCUCCUGCAGUCUGGUCAAACUCAUGCUGGUAGCUUUGAGAACACUGUCCAACCAACUUUGUAACCAGAGGUUCAACUGAAUAGAAUCUGAAUCACAUGCACCACAAGGCCUAUGCAGCCUCAACUUAAGAUGGCUCCCUGGCCUGGCUUUGCACUGCAAAGUUUGCAGCAGCACGUGCAACAAAAUGGCGUCCAGCAUUCAAAAACCUCCUCAGCUUGCAUUAUCUAGCCACACACAAGGCAUGCAAGCUCCACCCCCCAGUCGUUCUUAGACUUCUUAUUGGGUGAGCAACACAGCCAAGCAACACAGUUGGAGCCUCCCUCCUCCCUGGCCGGCAGGGAGGGAGGGAGAGGAGCUGCUUCCUUUGAAAUUUAAGGGACAUAAUUUAAGGGACAGCUAUCAAUAAGGGACAGCAGCGGGACAUGGCGCUGGAAUAAGGGACUGUCCCUUCAAAUAAGGGACACUUGACAGCUAUGGUCUUCAUGCUUUGGACUUUGGCUUGGUUACAGCUGGAUGUGAGGUGGUUUCGGUUUAGCCCAGUGGUUCCCAAAUUGGGUGGUAACACCCGAUGGAGGGCAGUUGCGUGGCUGGGGGGGCGCUAAGAGGGAGGGGCGGGGGGGCGGUGAAGCUGUAAAUGACCAACAGGCUUUGAAAACCUAGUAUCGCUGGAUCGAGUCCAUCAGUUUUGUUGAAUUAACUGAACUCAUUUUAACUGGAUGUGCAAUUGUUGCUAUUUUGCAUUUUAUUCCUCAGUGGGUUGUUAACUAUUCUUUUUAUAGGGUGGGGUGAAACUCACUAAGUGGGAGUCUGUGCAACUGAGAGGGCAUUGACCUGAAAAAGUUUGGUAACCACUGGUAUAGAUAGAUGAUAGAUAGAUGAUAGAUGAACGGGACGUGGGUAGCACUGUGGGUUAAACCACAGAGCCUAGGGCUUGCUGAUCAGAAGGUCGGCAGUUCGAAUCCCCAUGACGGGUGAGCUUCCAUUGCUCGGUCCCUGCUCCUGCCAACCUAGCAGUUCGAAAGCACAUCAAAGUGCAAGUAGAUAAAUAGGCACCACUCCGGCGGGAAGGUAAACGGCGUUUCCAUGCGCUGCUCUGGUUCGCCAGAAGCGGCUUAGUCAUGCUGGCCACAUGACCUGGAAGCUGUACGCCAGCUCCCUCGGCCAAUAAAGUGAGAUGAGCACCGCAACCCCAGAGUCGACCACGACUGGACCUAAUGGUCAGGGGUCCCUUUACCUUUAACCUUAGAUGAUAGAUAUUAGAUGAUAGAUAGAUAGAUAGAUAGAUAGAUAGAUAGAUAGAUAGAUAGAUGAUAGAUAGAUAGAUAGAUAGAUAGAUAGAUGAUAGAUAGAUAUAGCUAGAUAGAUAGAUGAUAGAUAUAGAUAGGAUCAUGUUAUCCCAAUUUAGAUAAGCUGGAUUUGCAAGGCGCCAUAUCAGCGCUGCUUUCCUUUGUGCAAACAAACCAGCAACUGCAACAGCAACUGCAGCCAUUGUCUUCUCUUUCUCUCUCAACCCCCAGCUCAUUUUUCAGCUGCAAGGUUGCUCCGCUGUGCCGAUGACGAGCCACGCAGGGGAUGCGCCUCGCAGGCUGCUUCUGGCCCAUCCAUCAAACCCCCGACAAAGCUCUCGUCUCCCACAAAUAAAGUUAUGACAAGAGCCCCCAACCCCUGGCUCCUCUCCCUGCCGUUGCCUCCACAACUCCAUCAUUGGCGGCAUUAUGAAGCAGCCGCCGAGCUGUUUGUCAGGGCCUCUGACAGUCCC
rnacentral:lncRNA from 1 species